rnacentral:piRNA from 1 species
UAGUUGCUUAAACUCCUACCUCCAUUACUU